rnacentral:rRNA from 1 species
CUGCUGCCUUCCGUAGGAGUCUGGGCCGUAUCUCAGUCCCAAUGUGGCCGUUCAUCCUCUCAGACCGGCUACUGAUCGUAGCCUUGGUGGGCCGUUACCCCACCAACUAGCUAAUCAGACAUGAGCCCAUCCUUCAGCGAUAAAUCUUUGAUAUCCAGGAGAUGCCUCCCGGAUAUGUUAUGCGGUAUUAGCAGUCGUUUCCAACUGUUGUCCCCCUCUGAAGGGCAGGUUGCUCA